rnacentral:rRNA from 1 species
CCUACGGGAGGCAGCAGUGAGGAAUUUUGCGCAAUGGACGAAAGUCUGACGCAGCGACGCCGCGUGUGCGAUGAAGGCCUUUGGGUCGUAAAGCACUGUCGACCGGGACGAAAACUCACGGACUAAUACUUCGUGAGUCUGACGGUACUGGUAAAGGAAGCACCGGCUAACUCUGUGUCCAGCAGCCG